rnacentral:rRNA from 1 species
GACGAACGCUGGCGGCGUGCUUAACACAUGCAAGUCGAACGAUGAAGCUGGAGCUUGCUCCGGUGGAUUAGUGGCGAACGGGUGAGUAACACGUGAGCAAUCUGCCCUUGACUCUGGGAUAACUGCGGGAAACUGUAGCUAAUACCGGAUACGAGGCUCGAAGGCAUCUUCGGGUCUGGAAAGAAUUUCGGUCAAGGAUGAGCUCGCGGCCUAUCAGCUUGUUGGUGAGGUAAUGGCUCACCAAGGCGACGACGGGUAGCCGGCCUGAGAGGGUGACCGGCCACACUGGGACUGAGACACGGCCUAGACUCCUACGGGAGGCAGCAGUGGGGAAUAUUGCACAAUGGGCGAAAGCCUGAUGCAGCAACGCCGCGUGAGGGAUGAAGGCCUUCGGGUUGUAAACCUCUUUUAGCAGGGAAGAAGCGGAAGUGACGGUACCUGCAGAAAAAGCACCGGCUAACUACGUGCCAGCCGCCGCAGUAA